GAGGGACAACCACCCAAGAUGUGUUCAUGUUUGCUUCUUAAUGGUUUCAAGUGUAUUUAUUCAACUGUUAUAAAGUGUUGUUGUUUAUGUCUCUAAGACUACAAGGUGGCACGACGAUGAGAGCUACAGGAAGUGUGUUGGUGGUCGUUAUCUGGUCUGUAACAGGAACUAUGGCAACAAAAUGUGGACAAACAAGCCUACUGAUGGUGUCUCCCACCAACCCAGUGUGGGGGCAGAAAGUGAUAUUGACCUGUAACGCCCCUGUAGUCUGAGUGACAACCAAAACCACACCUACAUCGGGUACAAGAAUGGAUACCGUCUUGUCGAUUCCCCCCUCCGGCAAUACACUGAAACCAGUUAUUAUACACACAGUUACUCCUGUGCUGUAAAUGGUUCUGAGGAUCUCCGCUCUCCUGUAGUCUGUAUUCUGGGUAAGUCCUGUUUCAAUGUGACUUACACCCAUCAGACAAUCUCUGCCUUGAUCGGCUCAACAGUGGAUCUUCCCUGCACAUACCAACAUCCGAAUAACCAUACAGUCAUAGAAAUGAACUGGUAUAUACAAGGAGAACGUAAUAAGGCGCCAACAAACCUGAAAUCAUUGCCAGAGUAUUCAGGUCGUGUGAAGUACCUUGGAGAUAAUGUGAGUGACUGUACCCUGAGAAUCACAGACCUGAGAGAGACUGACUCAGCUGAGUACAAGUUCAGGUGUAAAUUCACCUUGAGUAACAAUAGGUUUGCAGAGUGGGGGUACAGCUUCUCAGGAACUACUCUGACUGUCUCAGGACAUGCUCUCCUGUCUCCCUGGGUUCCCGUGGUUACAGUGGGGGCCGUCCUCACUGUUGCAGUUCUUCUAGUCACCAUCUACUGUACCCUGAGGAGGAGAUCUACAGGAGGAAGUGACGCUACAACAGACCCACAGAGAGUCCAUCCUGAUCCUAACAGUGACAUGUACUCAGCUCUGUCCCCCACAGAGUGUCCAUCCUGAUCCUAACAGUGACAUGUACUCAGCUCUCUACCCCACAGAGUGUCCAUCCUGAUCCUAACAGUGACAUGUACUCAGCUCUGAACAUGAGGAACAGAUCAACAGACUACGACACUCUAAAUACUCACCCACUGACCAACCAACAGAUAGAUGCAGAGCCCCAUGUUUAUGAGAACUUAUGAGAACCACCACAGAAUCUGGACUGAAGAGAACCACCACAGAACCUGGAUUGUAAAGAACUACCACAGAAUCUGGACUGAAGAGAACCACCACAGAACCUGGACUGAAGAGAACCACCACAGAACCUGGACUGAAGAAAACCAACACAGAACCUGGACUGUAUAGAACCAACACAGAACCUAGAUUGUAUUCGCUUACUUUCUGACUGUCUCUAUACUUUUGAAGAUGCCAUUCUCCUGAAUUAUUUUCCUUCACUGGAUUUCUCUAAAAGAAUAAGGUUGUUUUUGACAACCAUGUUCACAAUGGCUACUUCUACUAUCAUCAACUGGUGUCUCAAUUUAAUGUGAAGUAGUGUUUGGAACACAUUUACAUUUAAAUACAUUUUAGAGAAUUUGAAUACAAGCUUCACAUUCAUGUAAUUUUCCUGUAUUGUUCUACUUGUGCUAAUACAUACAGAGUACAGAAAAAUGGAUAGUCAGCAUAGACAGAAAGGUUUACAGUAAAUUACCAUUUAACAGUAAAAGCAGCUCAGGUUUGUCUUCCUGCUUCCCUCAUUGUCACACCAAGUACAAGAACAUGGUCCAGUACAGUGUCACAAAUCUCCUUAGAGAUUAUUGUUCUUCUUCCUCUCCCAUGUCCACCUCUCUUUC